GCUGGAGAGGUGGAGGACUCUGGCUUGCGCUCCAGCACAAACUGCCUGAUUUCUGCAGGGCAGAUGUGCAGGAGCUGAUCCUGGAUCAUCAGGUCCUCCAGAGCUUUGUAAGACUCUUUUUUCAGCCCCUUGGUCCACUGCU